rnacentral:rRNA from 1 species
UACGUAGGGGGCAAGCGUUGUCCGGAUUUAUUGGGCGUAAAGAGCGUGUAGGCGGCCACACAGGUCAGCUGUGAAAACUCGAGGCUCAACCUCGAGACGUCGGUUGAAACCGUAUGGCUAGAGUCCGGAAGAGGAGAGUGGAAUUCCCGGUGUAGCGGUGAAAUGCGCAGAUAUCAGGAGGAACACCGGUGGCGAAGGCGGGUCUCUGGGCAAUAACUGACGCUGAGGAGCGAAAGCGUGGGGAGCGAACAGG